rnacentral:rRNA from 1 species
GGGUCAGUAGGUUGGUCGUGCCACCGGUACGUACUGGUCUCACUGAUUCCUCCUUCCUGAAGAACCGUAAUGCCAUUAAUUUGGUGUUGCGGGGAAACAGGACUAUUACUUUGAGAAAAUUAGAGUGUUUAAAGCAAGCUAACGCUUGAAUACAUUAGCAUGGAAUAAUGAAAUAGGACGAUCGAUCCUAUUUUGUUGGUUUCUGGGAUUGACGUA